UACGUAGGUGGCAAGCGUUGUCCGGAUUUACUGGGCGUAAAGAGCGCGCAGGCGGUUGUUUAAGUCGAAUGUGAAAGCCCCCGGCUCAACUGGGGAGGGUCAUUCGAUACUGAUCGACUUGAAGGCAGGAGAGGGAAGUGGAAUUCCGGGUGUAGUGGUGAAAUGCGUAGAUAUCGGGAGGAACACCAGUGGCGAAGGCGACUUCCUGGCCUGUUCUUGACGCUGAGGCGCGAAAGCUAGGGGAGCAAACGGG
rnacentral:rRNA from 1 species